GACGCUGCUGGAACAGGCCGAGGCUGUCGUGGUCGUUGUCCUCGCCGAGGUUGCCGAGGUUGUGCAGGUUCGACUCCUGCAUAGCGGUG
rnacentral:tRNA from 1 species